UCUUAGGAGUCCACCCGUUUCCAGUCUCUUCUACCAGGCCAGAUGGAAUCAUCUACACUCGGAUUUUGGCUACCCCUUAGUUAAGCUCAGAUCUAUCUGGAAAUGCUUUCAUAGACUCACCCAGGGGUGUGCUUUUUCUAAUCCCUAGACACAUUUCAACCCAAUGAAACUGACAAUCAUGAUUCACCAACACAGUCACUGAUGCCAGUGUCUGCAUGUACUUGCUGAAGCCAAGCAGUGCUUUUUGACCAUUGAUUUUAAUUAGUCUCAGCCCCAGCUUCAGAAAUGUAACCACUGAAAAUACAUCUCCAAACGCCGUGUAAAUGAGCACAUUCCUCAGCAAGCCAUCAGUACCAUCAUCUGAAACAUCAGUGUUCAAAUCACAGUAAGCGGCUGUCCGAGAAGUGGUCUGGACUGGCACAUAGUGUGCCGCUCUCCCUAGUCCUCCCAGGAAAACUUCAUCAGUAAACCACACAUUCAGUAGAUAAGGCUGCAGAAGCCCUGUGAGACUGGGUCACAUUUGAAAGGGAGGAUCCGCCCUAAUCAGUGGAAUUGUAGGAAAACCUCAGUCCUUGUAGGGAAAUUAAACUAAAGAAAAUAUCUUAAGUGACUCCCAUUCAGUAGAGGGAGUGUGUUGUGAGAGUGGACUUCUGACUAAUCUCAACCUCAAUUCUAAUUGUCAAGGUUAAAAGCCCUGGGGAACGUCAGGACAAUAGAAACUAUCACUUCAAAAACAUAGUGUACACUAGGAGAUAAAAUGUCUGAAACCAGGUCAGAGACUUUACUAAAAAAGAGAGAGAGAAAACGUAGAACAAGGUAGAAAAGACAAGUUAUUAGAUAUUGAUUUAUUUACCUAUUUGUUUAUAGCCGUUGUACUACCUGUUUGCCAAGCAUGAUUUCACUUGCCAUCUGGAACAGAAUAACUAGGAGAAAAUAGCGGAAACAAUGUGUCAUUGUCCUUAACAUCCUGGUGACUGCAUGGAGGCUCCCAUAAACUCUGGCUAGCUUACCCGCCCCACCUGGUGGUUUUGGAGUAUAAAAUGAGAGUACAAACUAGGCCCAGCAUUUAAGCCUUUCAGGAGCUGUCCUGGCUUUGAUCCAUGGGCAACAUCUCCUCUCUUCCGCUCGAAUUGGCAUCGGAAUGCUUAUUGCAGAAAGAUUCCCUCAACUAAAUGAAAGACAUGUGACAAUCAGGCUGAAGCAGGUAGUGCAGAGAAAUCCCUCAGGAGUCACAUGGCAGUCUUCAGUGGGAUGAUAUCCACAGUACGCGGUCACAGCCAAAAUGCCCAAGAAACUGCUUAGAAAAGCGGUCCCCUCAGCCGUGUGCCCCGGAAGCGCUGAUUUCUCAAGAUUGGCUUCUGUAAAUGGGUCAGAAAGGAUAUAAAAUGCAGUGGUUUAACUCAGUCAUAAAAUAUCCAUUUAAAUUCU